CUUCAGAAAUAUACACAGAGGUAAAAGAACUUGCUCCAUAUUUAAAAAUUUUGGGUAAAAAACCAAUGAUCACUAACCUGUGUGUGAAUGGGUCUGGGAGAGACCUUGGUUGGAGCAUAUCCAGGACGAGCAAUGAGCUUCAUCACCAAAAAAACGAACCUAGAGUCUCCAACUGUGAUCAGCUAUACCCAAGUAAGAGGAUAGCUCUGUAUUCUAAAACCUCAAUCAUAUUCCGGUCAGACUCAAACAAUGCGGAUCUCGAGGGAAACACAGGCGCUGGACUUUACGACAGUGUGAUAAUGGAUGAAGCGGAGGAAGUGGUGGUGGAUUACUCAAGGGAGCCACUAAUAGUGGACAAAGCCUUUCAAAUGCGCCUGUUCUCAACAAUUGCAGAAGCUGGAAAUGUGAUAGAGACGCUCUAUGGUUCUCCUCAAGACAUCGAAGGUGUUGUCAAAGGUGGUCAUUUUUACAUCGUCCAAGCUAGACCCCAAGUUUAAGCUCUCUCUUGCUAUUUCUGCGUCCCAUUCCCUAAGUUUUCAAACUAAUUACACUCCUGAUACAAACAUUGACUCAUAAUAAAUCAAUAUGUUGAAAAUCACGAUUGUGUGGGGUUUUGUAUGUAACGUAAUCUUUAAAACAGCAUCGUAUAAAAGAGUAAUCAAAGAAUU